AAUAUUUCAAAACGUCAUUUAUUUAUUUGGGGGGAGUUAUCCCUUACACUAAAAGUAGUAUACUUGUCACGAGGUCUCAACUAUGACUAUGCUGGGAGGGUCUGUGUGUGGUUGUCUGUGUUUUCUUACUUUCUGUUUCUGAGUGUGUGAGGCUGGCUGGUGUGUUUUGGUUUUUCUCUCUACCUUUGCAGUUUGACAGGAGGCGUGACUGGUGGGGAAGCAUGGGGCUGGCUCACUCACCUGUAUGGCUGAUUAGCGCAGCUGAUCCAUAUCAUGUGGUUCUGUGCUGCUUCAUGAGCCCUGCAGUUCUCCUCAGCCUUCGCUGGAUUGUUAUGUUGUAUAGAUCUGGAGAGGACGCCUUCCCUUAUGCCCAUACCUGCCUGUUUUUUCUGGAGGAGCAAACACUGCCUGCCGUCCCUGCCUAUCGUCGAGCCUGCCGCCGAGCUCAAUCACUCGUUCCCACCUUGUCUUGCCUGCCUCUCGAUAAAGUCUGUGAAAAGGCCUCCCGUCUCUGUCUGCUACUGGGUUCUGGUUAAACCAUAUCUGACAAUACUAGCAUAUUAUAAAAACAAUGUUCAUUAAUUAUACUAGAGCAGUAGACUCUGCGAGGUGGAGGAGCAGUGAUGUUAAAGAGUACUGAGUGUGUCUGCAUCCCGUCUUAGCUUAUGAGCUUGUUUUCCACACAACAAUUCAGCACAAGAAUCACAGGGGGUUCAGUGGAGCCUGAAGAUCAUCUGCAGUGAUGUUUUAAUAAACCAAACAUAAAGCCAGUGAUGUGUUCUUUCUCUGUGGAAAAACUGGGAAACCAAACAUUCGUACUCAUUUUUCUGACUGACUGCAGCAUCAUCUCCACACAGCACAAUAAACUGUGCUGUAGACUAUUGACUUCCGGGAACUAUCUGCGGUCUCCGUGAACCACGUGACGAUGUAACAUUUUGGACCCCUGCUGACGCGACUGUCUCUUUAAAGGGCUCUGGACUGCACUAAAAGAAACAACUGUCGCUCUGGAGGUGAAGUUUGGAUCCACUCAGUCAUCAGAACUCCAACAGCUGGGAGAAGCACUGAGAGCGGACAUGCUGAACAUUCAGAGAAAAACUCCUCCAGAUGCCUGUAGACCAGAAUCAGGGAGGUUUCCUCUGAUAAUAGACCUCCAGUAAAGACAACCAAACUUCCUGAUGCUCUGCAGAUCCUGUUCUAAAGACUCUCUCCAGAUCAAGGCUCUUUAAACCCUGAAGAGUCCCUUAUGCUGCUGGUCCUGAGACUAAAAGAUCAACAUGUCUCAGACCUCUCUGAAGCCAGCUCUGCUUUACAGACAAGACACCAGGCCGAGCAGAGAAUCACUGAAACCUGCAGCCAGCUUCAUCACACCUGAGUGGCUGUCAGAUAACACCUGCACAGAGAUGCGGCUCUGCUCGCUCUGCAAGGCGACCAGUUGCUGGUCCAGAACACCUUGACCUCUUUUCAGCGAAUCAGCUUCCAGCCUCAGGUGGUGGGCGUGGCCUGACAACACCUUCAGCUCCUCGGCCAGCUUCUGGACCAAUCCCGUGUCCUGCCAGUCAUCUGCGUUGUGAUUGGACAGCGCUCGCAGCAGAGAGCUCUGCAGCGCCUCCCAGCGCAGGAAGCUAUCGCUGUAGUCUGGACAGUUCGGGUCCAAGAAGAUGCUGAUUGGCUCUCCGUCUGCAACCCGGGAGAUGGACACCAGGGCGCCAGACUCUCUGGGAUUGGUUGAGAUUACAGGAAUUAUGUUUGGCAGUGUUGCUCUGUUCUGGUACCCUCUGGGAGAGCACCUCCCCUCCUCCACCUCCUCGCCCUUCCACAUGCCGACAUAGAAAGCCAUAAGACUGGAAGAGCACCUCCCCGCCCUUCCACAUGCCGACAUAGAAAGCCAUAAGACUGGAAGAGCACCUCCCCGCCCUUCCACAUGCCGACAUAGAAAGCCAUAAGACUGGAAGAGCACCUCCCCGCCCUUCCACAUGCCGACAUAGAAAGCCAUAAGACUGGAAGAGCACCUCCCCGCCCUUCCGUGUACAAACCAAUUGCCAAUGAAUGCUUGGAGGGAAAUCAGCUGAUGAAAGCUUGACUUGACAUGGACUGCUAUCAGCCAAUGUAUUGGGUUUGUGAGCUGAGCUUGACUUCGUUGCCUGCCUGAAUUAACAAUAUGCUUAAUUUUAACUAUAACAUUGUACUUUAAACAAUAUGUAAAUGUAAAAAUGUUGCCUACAUUUUGCAAAUUACAAGCCUUGCUGAAACAGAACAAUCAUCUCGAGGGACAGGCCAAAAACCCAUCAGCAAAAAGUAAUUUUUGAUUGUUUAAAAUAAUUUUAAUUGGCUUUAAUUUGAUGCUAUAUUGAGGAAAGAAGACAUGGUAAUGCUUUGAAAUACAUAUUUGUUUGUUAUGACUGACAUUAUCUGUAAUUUUAUGACUGAAUAUUUCUUCCUCCACCAAUAAGAGGGUUACAGCAGUCUGGAUGCAGUCUGGAUGUGGGUUGUGGGGUAACACCUCCCCUGUGGUGCGGACCAUGUGUGUGUUCUGUAGUGUUUAAUCUGUAGAUCAUCAGUCGAUGUCAGUGAAGGCGACAGCUGCUGCAGAUUAGAGACACU